UACGGGGGGUGCAAGCGUUGUCCGGAAUCACUGGGCGUAAAGGGCGCGUAGGCGGCUCGUUAAGUCGGGUGUGAAAACUCUGGGCUCAACCCAGAGCCUGCAUUCGAAACUGACGAGCUAGAGUUCUGGAGGGGAAAGCGGAAUUCCUGGUGUAGCGGUGAAAUGCGUAGAUAUCAGGAGGAACACCGGUGGCGAAGGCGGCUUUCUGGACAGAAACUGACGCUGAGGCGCGAAAGCUAGGGGAGCAAACAGG
rnacentral:rRNA from 1 species